CCCAGACAUGUUUGCCCUUAACCAUCAUAAUUAGAAUGUAGGAUAGGUCUAAUGUGCAAUCACACAAUUCAAAUAGCAGUGUAAUCAACCUAACUAGUAGACAUAAAUCUCAUACAUCAGGACAAAGUUGCAAUAAUCUCCUACAGAACUUGGCAUUUAUAAAUGGGAACUUUUACCUGAAGUCGAGAACAACUGGUGAAGUAUUUCACUGAAACUGUGAAGGUCUAGGGAGGACAUAAUUUUAAUACUUGAUUUCUCAGAACUUUUAGAAAUACUCGGCCUCAGGACUCCCGAUAAAAGGACAGAACUGGAAUUUCAACUUCAAUCCUGCAACUGGGGCUGCAUUGAUAAAGUUUCCCACACAGAAAUCUGAAACACCGAGCAGAAAAAAAAAGUCAUUGCCAUCAGAAAUCCACUGCAGCUCUCAACAUAUAGUAGAUAGGUAACCUGGCAAGCAGCAAAUUAAGAAGCAAAGAUGUUCACUACUCUAGUGUAAAGCGCAUAAAAGGAAGCUUUGUGGACAAACCUGAAGCAGAAAACAAGCAGUGAAAUAAUUCUCCUUUGAGGCUGCUUCACACAUUCUCCUUUCAGAAGGCCUGUGCUUGAAUAACAGACCAUUAUACAGGAUGGGCAACUUACUGAACAUGGAAUGAUAAGAAGUUCUACAGCUGUUGUCUUUCUGUUUAUCAUACAGGUGGGAUAGAGCUGCAGUUCCUUGUAUAAGGCUGUCACGAUUUUCCAGCUUAACCAAUAUUGUUCAAUAAAAACUAUAUUUUAC
rnacentral:lncRNA from 1 species